rnacentral:lncRNA from 1 species
UGACCGUCCGAGAGUUAUCAGUAUUUCUACCUGCAUUUUGUAUAUGAGCUACCUUCGCCUGUUGUUGCAUGAAUUGCAUAAAGUCUCUGACCAUCCCAUCAUUCACCAUUUCAUCGGUGUUAUUGUUUUCAUGAGGAGUAUUUGUAAGACCCUAACUUUUUGAAUAAAGAUUAAAUUUUCUCGAAAUAUAUUUUUGAAUAUUAUGGUGUGGAUUUGAUAUAAUGUUAUAGUUGUG